GGGAUAACGUAGCGAAAGUUACGCUAAUACCGCAUACGUUCUACGGAAGAAAGUGGGGGAUCGCAAGACCUCAUGCUUUUGGAGCGGCCGAUGUCUGAUUAGCUAGUUGGUGAGGUAAAGGCUCACCAAGGCGACGAUCAGUAGCUGGUCUGAGAGGACGACCAGCCACACUGGAACUGAGACACGGUCCAGACUCCUACGGGAGGCAGCAGUGGGGAAUUUUGGACAAUGGGCGCAAGCCUGAUCCAGCAAUGCCGCGUGAGUGAAGAAGGCCUUCGGGUUGUAAAGCUCUUUUGUCAGGGAAGAAACGGCAGAGGCUAAUAUCCUUUGCUAAUGACGGUACCUGAAGAAUAAGCACCGGCUAACUACGUGCCAGCAGCCGCGGUAAUACGUAGGGUGCAAGCGUUUAAUCGGAAUUACUGGGCGUAAAGCGUGCGCAGGCGGUUUUGUAAGUCUGACGUGAAAGCCCCGGGCUCAACCUGGGAAUUGCGUUGGAGACUGCAAGGCUUGAAUCUGGCAGAGGGGGGGUAGAAUUCCACGUGUAGCAGUGAAAUGCGUAGAGAUGUGGAAGGAACACCGAUGGCGAAGGCAGCCCCCUGGGUCAAGAUUGACGCUCAUGCACGAAAGCGUGGGGAGCAAACAGGAUUAGAUACCCUGGUAGUCCACGCCCUAAACGAUGUCUACUAGUUGUCGGGUUUUAAUUAACUUGGUAACGCAGCUAACGCGUGAAGUAGACCGCCUGGGGAGUACGGUCGCAAGAUUAAAACUCAAAGGAAUUGACGGGGACCCGCACAAGCGGUGGAUGAUGUGGAUUAAUUCGAUGCAACGCGAAAAACCUUACCUACCCUUGACAUGUCAGGAAUCCU
rnacentral:rRNA from 1 species